UUGCACUGAAUGGUAUCUGCACCCAGCAGCGUUCUUCUGAUGGGGUGUUCAAAAACCAGUGCUACAGUAAUUCAGCAUUUGGCAUCGUUGGUUUUCACUCUGCAGUGGUUGUUAAACCUGGUAUUCUUGCUGAUACAGGU
rnacentral:snoRNA from 1 species